CAUACAUGUAUGUCAGAGCUCAUGCCACGAUGCACAUGUGAUGAUGACAACUUAUGGGGUCGGGGAUUUUUGUUUGUUUGUUUUCUCCUUCUACUGUGUGGGUUUAGAGAUUGGACUUAGGUGAUUAAUCUUUAUGGAGAGCCUUCUUACCCAUGGGACAUCUUGUUGACCUCACAUGGGUUAUUCUUAUUUUCUUCUUUUCACACAAGGAUCCAGGGCUCUCCCAAAGGAAGAAACAGGGAACAUUCAGACUCGGCAGCUGAUGGGACACCACGAGGCUCCUCCUCUGGCUCUUCCUGGUUCAGCUUCACCUCAGGAACAUUUCAGGAGGGCCAUCUCCCGCUGCGCUGCGCUUUUUGAAAAGCCCUUGUAAGAAGCAACAGUCCCACUGCCUACUCUUUUCUCCCUCCUUUCCCUGUUCCUCCAGGUAGGCGCACUAAGAACGAUUUCCUUUGUGGGAAAUGAAGCAGACCCCGGCCGCAGAGGAUCCGUUGUCAUUUCUGAGGUGCAUUUAACUUAAAUAGCCAGGAGAUCUGGAGCCCCCAAAACAGGUCCCUGCAGUGUGGGUGUUCAGACACACGUGUUCCCUUCCUGUGACUGAGGAAGAAGAUGGGUGGAGCAAUGCCCUCUGCUGGAGCGAUGCCUCAUACUGCGUGGACAGAUGUGUGUGGGUGACCUAGCUGCCUGCCUUUUGUUCUCCGGUCUCUCACCCUGUUAUUUCUUCAACUCCCAACCACCGCACAGUUUUUUGUACUCAUGCGGCAUUCUUAACCUCUGACUUGAGUUUUGAGUGGUGUGGAAAACAAAGGAAGAAGUGGGAGGUGGUGAUGGUCUGUGACAUCACGGCCUCAUUCUGAUCUCACAAUCUCAUAGUUACAGGACAUUUCCUCUACCCUCCCUGCCUGGUAUUUGAAAAACUGAAAUCACCUCUACUUAGUGGGUUGGAGAAUGAAAAUGAGAUGGAGUUGCUUUGUAAAGUGUCCGGCCUGUUCUGCGUGUGCCAGGAAAGGUUGUUCCUAGCUGGGCAUGGUGGUGCACGCCUUUAAUCCCAGCACUUGGGAGGCAGAGGCAGGUGGAUUUCUGAGUUCGAGGCCAGCAUGGUCUACAGAGUGAGUGCCAGGACAGCCAGGGCUACCCCCCCCCCAAAAAAAAAAAAAAAAAAAAAAAAAAAGAAAGGUUGUUCCUCUAAGACAGGUCUCGUCCCUGACAAUGGCCUUGCUGGAACUUCCUUGCUUUUAGGGGCAGAGAAUGGGUCUUCCUGUAAUGAUUCAUGGUGUGAUAACCUAAUGUGUGAAGAAGGGCAAGCUUGGAGUGCUGUGACAGAUUCAAAUGAUGACACUCAAUGCUC
rnacentral:lncRNA from 1 species